rnacentral:snRNA from 1 species
GUGCUCACUUCAGCAGCACAUAUAUUAAAAUUGGAAUGAUGUGGAAAAGAUUAGCAUGGCCCCUGUACAAGGAUGGCAUGCAAAUUUGUGAAGCUUCCAUAUUUAA